rnacentral:tRNA from 1 species
GAUUGUGGCUCAGGGGUAGAGGGCUUGACUAGCACGUCCAAGACCCUGGGUUCGAACUUCAGCAACA